rnacentral:tRNA from 1 species
UAAGGGUUAAAGCCCCUUCAAUUCCU